UGCCAGCCAGACAAUGCAGAUUAGCCCCAAAAGGAGCCAGCCCGCCGCCCCUCCACUCGAGACCUUCUCGUGAGAGACAAAAGCACUCGGCUGGGAUUUUAAUGAAUAACAACAUGAAGAAGUGCGGACUGGGUCCGCAUCAGUGGUUCGAAGGCAUAUCCACAGCACAAUCCACAUCAAUUACAUUGCGGUUGGCUGCCAUUGCCAGGGACACGCUCACAAGCACAGUGACAAACACACUUACAAUCACCAUCACAAUCGAGUGGCAGGAGCACGUUCGCAUAUGAAUAUGAAAUGCAGGAGCACAUGGUUUCGGCCAUAUCGAUGAAAAUCAAUUCCACUGUCGUUUGGGAAUCUCUCAAUUGGUCGGUCGCAGCUGAGCAGCUGAGAAAGUUCGGUCUUCUUGCCCAGUGUUUGUGGCACUGAAUUGUCAAUAUCAGUUGGGCUCAAGUUGAUUUUGCUCCAUUAUCUGUGCAAUUUGGAACACGAAUCGACGACUGCUGCAACUGUCGGUUGGGAACCUAAAUACCUUUUUGACCUCUUCGCCUGCGGCUUAUUGGGCAAAUUAGUUUUGCCUGAUUGCAAAUUGUGCAAGGAGGGAGGCUGGCUGCUCCUCCUCCACGUUCUCCUUUUGACAGGACGUAAAUUCAAUGUUGUGUAUACAUAUCUUGUACAGCUUGUUGAUACGUUUUAAACCAGGCCCACAUGGACAUAUGGAGCAACCGAGGCGCACCCACCAUCCACCACCCACAACUGAUUUAUGUUUAUGGGCUUGGAAAAUAUUUGCGCCACUUCAAAAGCAUUAUGAUGAUUAUUAGCAUUGUUUGCCAUCGUAGUAAAACUGUCAUACGUGUCUGGCUGACUGUUGGCCCAACAUUUGCAGUUCAACAAUAUGGGAAAAAAAAGUUGAAAAGAGCAGCGCCAAGUGGAGCUUCUACUGGAGCCAAAGCUGUAAAUGUAGCUGUAACGGACAAACGUGAAACGUGACCGACGUGAUGUUUAUGCGAAAACAUUUCCCCCAUCAUCUGAAUAAGUGCGAUUGCGAUUGCGAGUGUGAGCCGAUGGCAUUAGCAUCUGACAUCGGGUUAUAUACUCCCCAGUUCCAAGUAUCCCCCACAAGUAUGCACAUCAUCAGCGAGCUCCGCUUGGCCCAAAAACGAGAAUCGACUAAUCGGCCAAGAAAGGCGCAACUUUGCAGGAACCCCAUCCGUUUAAAGCAAUCCGGAAUCGAACGCGGCAGCCUGCUAUUGUGUGUUGAAAGGAUCCAAAGCCCCCAGGAAAUUGCUGCUUAAGCACUGAGAAAAAACAUCUCAAACUUUUAUUUUAAAAGUUUGAAAAGCGUCGUAUUAGGCUUUUUCUGAGUGCCCAUAUGUAUUCCACCGGCAAUUUCUGGAUUCUGAGCCAAAAGUCGUGCUACGCAGGAGACAAGUGUGUGACAAUGCCACGGCUUCAGUUUGGGCCCCAAAGUAGAAGUGGCUCGCAAACUUUGUGCCCCUGCCCCCCACCAAAAAACGCGGAGUUCCUGGAAGAACUUGCCUCGCAUAUGGCGGCGCUGCAGCUACAAGGACAUGGAGCAAGACGCCAGGAAUCGCACCCUUGCUGCUGCCGCCGUCGCCAUUUUUAGUGUAAAUAUUUAAACAAUAAUAAGUUGGCGGAAAAACGUGGGGAAACUCUUACGCUGCCAGCGCGGCAAGGCGAGGCAAAAACUUUUGUUAUCUUUUCACCAUGAAAAUAGCACGAAAUUGAACAGGAAAACGCCGCCGGAGUCAGGUGAGAAGUGGUGGUGGUGGCGGGCGGAUAGGGAGCCAGGUGACAGGUGGCAUGGGAGACUGCUACACAUCGACGGGCUUUCGACAGACAGACAGACAGACAGUCGGGCUGAAAGCUGAAAGCAUUGCACGUGCACUAAUCAUCACGGAUGGCGGUGCGCACGGGGAAUUUGGCUGGUGUAUCGCCUUUCAUGUUUUCAAUUAGCGUUAAUGUCAGUGCAGCGCCCGAUGAGCUGGAACGGGUACCGAAAACUAUGGUAUAGUAUCUCCAUUGGCCAAUGUUUGCGUUUUGACAAUACACCGCCCAGCCCUUGCCAAAUAAAGGCUUGUUAGUGGCAGACAAAGGGAUAUCAUAUCGCCAAACCCGCAGAAGUUAUCCCUGGCUUUAAGUUUGUGGCAACUUAACUGAGCAUGGUUGCAUGGUUAAGAAUUAUAGUUAAAUAUCUUGUAUUUAUUGGUUAAAUGAUUCUGUUCGAGACGUUUGAAAUUGAAGUUUUUGCAAACUUUCGACUGCUAGAGUAACUACAAGUGGAAAUUAAUUUCCGACGACGGGCUCAAUCCAUCAUUUAUGCUCCCCACAAAGCCAACGCUCUUUAUUCAUACCAUAACUGCUCUAUAAAUAUGAUCAGGGAACGCGACUUGCCUUUACCCCGAAAAUGUCAUUUGCAUAACCGUCAAUCAUACGCCACGUAUGCCGGCUCUUGCUGUUCCACCUUGUUUGUUUCUGCCCCACUGGGUGCACACACUCCACCACCAACAACACCACCGGAUCCCUAACCCAGCAUAUGUUCGAUGGCACUGAAAAUUUUGCUUCUCGAUUUGCGUUUGCGUUUUAUUUCGAAAUUGAAUUUCAGCACUGAUUAUAUUUUUUCUACCUUCUUUGCGGAGCAGCCAGCGAUGGGAAUGUGUGCGAUGCGGACUUGGGGGAGUCCUGAGGAUCCGGCGAGUUCUGAUGGGGAUGCAUUGAUUGGUUAGGUAGGUGGUGGUGGUGGUUGGGGGGCCUCCCGUUGUUUGCCGGGGGUGCAUAAAUAAGCGCCACUCAAUUAUGCAGACUGUGGGCGAAGCAGCCAUAAUCCUUUAUCCUUCCUACCAGCGACGUGUCGAUUUGAUUUGCUUUGCAAUUUAUUUUUGAAUAGCGCUGACAAGGACACACAUCGUGCAUAUGGUAUUUAUUAUAUAAUGUUUGCUUUGACAAAACGCUUUACACGCUUUUCUAGAAGGGCGUUAAUAAAAAUAAAAAAUUAAAAUCCA